GACGAACGCUGGCGGCGUGCUUAACACAUGCAAGUCGAACGGUGAAGCGCCUUCCUUUUUGGUGGGUGUGGAUGAGUGGCGAACGGGUGAGUAACACGUGAGUAACCUGCCCCCUUCUUCUGGAUAACCGCAUGAAAGUGUGGCUAAUACGGGAUAUUCUGGGUCUGUCGCAUGAUGGGUCUGGGAAAGAUAUUGUUUCGGUGGGGGAUGGGCUCGCGGCCUAUCAGCUUGUUGGUGGGGUGAUGGCCUACCAAGGCGGUGACGGGUAGCCGGCCUGAGAGGGUGGACGGUCACACUGGGACUGAGACACGGCCCAGACUCCUACGGGAGGCAGCAGUGGGGAAUAUUGCACGAUGGGCGCAAGCCUGAUGCAGCGACGCCGCGUGAGGGAUGGAGGCCUGCGGGUUGUGAACCUCUUUCGCCAGUGAAGCAGGCCUGCCCCGUUUGUGGGUGGGUUGACGGUAGCUGGAUAAGAAGCGCCGGCUAACUACGUG
rnacentral:rRNA from 1 species